rfam:Beta vulgaris subsp. vulgaris 0254.scaffold00675.con0002.1, whole genome shotgun sequence.
GAGCUGUGAUGAUAAUAUUGCGCCUCUAUGUGGCAGAUUGGGUCCGCCACCAAACGUCUGAUUCCUCGGACGAAGCUAGAUCGCAUCUGAGCUU